rnacentral:rRNA from 1 species
AUUGAACGCUGGCGGCAUGCCUUACACAUGCAAGUCGAACGGCAGCACGGGGCAACCUGGUGGCGAGUGGCGAACGGGUGAGUAAUGCAUCGGAACGUACCUUUCAGUGGGGGAUAACGUAGCGAAAGUUACGCUAAUACAGCAUAUUCUGUGAGCAGGAAAGCAGGGGAUCGCAAGAACUUGCGCUGAUUGAGCGGCCGAUGUCAAAUUAGCUAGUUGGUGAGGUAAAGGCUCACCAAGGAGGCGAUCUGUAGCGGGUCUGAGAGGAUGAUCCGCCACACUGGAACUGAGACACGGUCCAGACUCCUACGGGAGGCAGCAGUGGGGAAUUUUGGACAAUGGGGGCAACCCUGAUCCAGCCAUGCCGCGUGAGUGAAGAAGGCCUUCGGGUUGUAAAGCUCUUUCGGCCGGGAAGAAAUCGCACGGGCUAAUACCCUGUGUGGAUGACGGUACCGGAAUAAGAAGCACCGGCUAACUACGUGCCAGCAGCCGCCGCAGUAA